rnacentral:rRNA from 1 species
UACGUAGGGUGCAAGCGUUAAUCGGAAUUACUGGGCGUAAAGCGAGCGCAGGCGGUCGUGUAAGACAGAUGUGAAAUCCCCGGGCUCAACCUGGGAACUGCAUUUGUGACUGCACGGCUAGAGUGCGUCAGAGGGGGGUGGAACUCCACGUGUAGCAGUGAAAUGCGUAGAGAUGUGGAAGAACACCGAUGGCGAAGGCGGCUCACUGGUCCGGUACUGACGCUGAGGUGCGAAAGCGUGGGGAGCAAACAGG